rnacentral:rRNA from 1 species
CCUACGGGAGGCAGCAGUGGGGAAUAUUGGACAAUGGGGGCAACCCUGAUCCAGCCAUGCCGCGUGUGUGAAGAAGGCCCUCGGGUUGUAAAGCACUUUCAGUGAGGAAGAACGCCUGGUGGUUAAUACCCAUCAGGAAAGACAUCACUCACAGAAGAAGCACCGGCUAACUCCGUGCCAGCAGCCGCGGUAAUACGGAGGGUGCGAGCGUUAAUCGGAAUUACUGGGCGUAAAGCGCGCGUAGGUGGCUUGAUAAGCCGGUUGUGAAAGCCCCGGGCUCAACCUGGGAACGGCAUCCGGAACUGUCAAGCUAAAGUGCAGGAGAGGAAGGUAGAAUUCCCGGUGUAGCGGUGAAAUGCGUAGAGAUCGGGAGGAAUACCAGUGGCGAAGGCGGCCUUCUGGACUGACACUGACACUGAGGUGCGAAAGCGUGGGUAGCAAACAGGAUUAGAUACCCCUGUAGUC